UUAAAACGCCCGUAGUAUACCUAAGAGUGGGUGUGUAGCAAUUAGUUUUGCCAGAGGACGGUUGGCGAGAGUUUAUCACUCUUGUUUGCCUACUUUUGGUAGACUUUAGUCGGGCUGGACCUUUGGUCCUCGUCUGACAGUUGCUACGUGCUUACUUACCACGGUUCAUCCGUGAGGCCCUUGGCUUGCAACUGUAAAUAAAUCGUUGUGCUUAAAGCGGGCUAUGAUACUCUGCCAGAGCGAUUUAGCAUGGGACUGCAGAGUAGCUGUAUUUGGAUGAAGGUUGUGUUUCGGCAUGGCUGGAGUCUGGUACAGCGCUUGUAAUGGAGCUCAGGGUGAGGCCCCGGGUACCAUGAGGCUAGAGGUGAAAUUCUGAGACCCUCAUGUGACCAACUAAGGCGAAAGCUGUCGUGGGCCACCACAAGCUCGUCUAUCAGGGACGAAAGUUGGGGGAUCGAAGACGAUUAGAUACCGUCGUAGUCCCAACUAUAAACGAUACCAACCGAGUAUUUGGGAAGACACUAUCCCAGCGAUCUUCUCAGAACUCAAGGGAAACCUUAAGUCUUUGGGUUCUGGGGGGAGUAUAGUCGCAAGACCGAAACUUAAAGGAAUUGACGGAAAGGCACCA
rnacentral:rRNA from 1 species